rnacentral:rRNA from 1 species
GCGCAGCAGGCGCGAAUCCUCCACAAUGCGGGAAACCGUGAUGGGGGAAUCCGAGUGCCCGUUGGCUAAUGCUGGCGGGCUUUUCUCAAGCGUAAAAGGCUUGAGGAAUAAGGACUGGGUAAGACCGGUGCCAGCCGCCGCGGUAACACCGGCGGUCCAACUGGUGAUCAGCAUUAUUGGGUCUAAAGCGUCCGUAGCCGGAUGGUUGGAUUUCGAGUGAAAUUCCCCAGCUUAACCGGGGGCUGCUUGAAACACCCGCCAUCUAGGGACCGGGAGAGGUAGGGGGUAGGCCCCC